GUGUCAGCAGCCGCGGUAAUACGUAGGUGACGAGCGUUAUCCGGAAUUAUUGGGCGUAAAGCGCCCGCAGGCGGCUGUUCAAGUCUGACGUGAAAUCGCUCGGCUUAACUGGGCGGGGUCGUUGGAAACUGAAUAGCUUGAGGCAAGGAGAGGGGCGUGGAAUUCCCGGUGUAGUGGUGGAAUGCGUAGAUAUCGGGAGGAACAUCAGUGGCGCAAGCGGCGCCCUGGCCUUAGCCUGACGCUCAGGGGCGAAAGCGUGGGGAGCGAACGGGAUUAGAUACCCCGGUAGUCC
rnacentral:rRNA from 1 species